rnacentral:lncRNA from 1 species
AUCUGGGUUCCAGUUCGGGCUCUACCAGCAGCACCCAUGUGUCCUUCUGUUCUCUGGGCCUCAAUUUCCUGUUGUAAAAUUCAGAACUUGGAAGAGCAUUUCAGGAGGUUCCUGUGAAAAACCUACAUGCACACACCCCCACGUGCAGCUGCAGACUGCUAUCUAUACACGAAGUUAUGCAUCGCAGAGUCGACUGCAAAAGGCUGGAGCCCACACAGCGUCUAUCAAUAGGGAACGGGUUAAAUCGACCACAAGAUUUCCAUAUGACGAUGGAACACUUUCCAGCCAAGAAAGGAGGAGGAAGUCCUCACUGCUCUGAUACGGAACAGUCACCAAGACAUAUUUUAAGUAAAAAAAAGGCAGCAUGCAUAACCAGGGAAAUGAAAACUAAAACCACAGUGAGUUACAAUUUCACACAGAUCCAUCUACAAAAAAAAAAAAGCUGAUAAUUGCAGGUGUUGGUGAAGAAGUGGAGUGAGGGGAAUGCUCAAACUACUAGUGGGUGUGCGAAUGGUUAUAACCACUUUUUAAAAUUUUGGCAUUAUCUACUGAAGUUGACAAUGUACUUUCCCAAUGGCCUUGCAAAUGCCCUGGAGAAGUUCUUACCCAACCCCCGCCAUUCCCCCCAACACACACCAAAAGAAACAAUUAAGAACAUUUGCACCAGCUCUGUUCCUAGAACCCCAAAACUGAGGCCAGCACUGAGGCCAAGCACAGUGGCUCAUGCCUGUAAUCCCAGCAGGCAUGAGCCACCCUUUGGGAGCCUGAGGCCGGAGGAUUAUUGAGGUUGAGAGUUCAAGACCAGCCUGGGCAACAUAGUGAGACCUUGUCUCUAUAAAAGAAGUUUUAAAAAUUAGCCAGGUGUGAUGGCUCAUGCUUGUAGUCCCAGCUAAUUGGGAGGCUGAGGUAGG